GCCAGUGUGGCAUAGUGGUUUGAGGACUGCAUUAUGACUGGAGACCAGGGUUCAAUUCCCAGCUCAGCCA